UUCGCUAGCUUCAGACGCCUGUGUCGCUUAUUAAAAGAUUAUUGUGUGGUGUACAGUUAGAAAAUCAAGAUGUGAGUGAUCUAGUAAGUGUCUCUUGACCAUUGACUCCGCUUUUCUCUUUUUCUUAUUAAACGUAGUUAGGUUUAAUAUUUGCGUGGUAAUAUGAGUGAGCAAAAUGUACAAGUGCGGCAAAAAAAUACUCUGCGGUUAACAAGUCGAUUUACAGGGGAAAGAAAAAUGGUUUGUAUUCGUGUUUGUGACAUGCAGCGGAUGCUGCCUUAAUACAGUGCGACGUUAAAGACUUACGACGUACAAUGACUGGAACAGCUAGAAAAUUUGAGGGAGCCAUCUGGAGGUGGCAUUGAGGCAGCAACAACAUACAUCACAACCUGUCCGUGAUGCGUCUGGCACCAUCAUCACAUACAGUUAAAUUGUUGGCUACCCUCACCACAUGUGGGGGUAUCAGCGACUCCGUAGCAGCAUCCAGGCCCAUCGUGGACGCCGUCCAUGUGUGCUGGACCAUCACCGGUGCAUUGGUCAUACAAUUUUGAUGCAAAAGUGAACCUGAAAACAUGAUAAAAUGUGGACGCCUCUGGAGAAAGCUCAGUGUGUGGGGCCCAUUAGAUACAGACGAUACCUGAUACCCAAAUGCAACGAACCUUUCAGACUUGGAAUACAUCAUUUAUGGA